GUGGCUGUGACUCUCUUUGUGGCUGUGAUCCUGCUUUAUUUUCUGGGACUAUAUGUGUCAAAGCUUCGCUGUACUCAGGACUGGUACCAUCUGUUCCAACGCAAAUGUUUCCCUGGGCUGUUUAAUCAUGACUCAGAACCUCAGAUCCCUGCACGUGUCUCGCCUGAGGAACCUAGGAAGAAAAGACUUCUUUCUCUGGAUACAUUCAGA